AGAGUUGAUCAUGGCUCAGAUUGAACGCUGGCGGCAGGCCUAACACAUGCAAGUCGAGCGGUAGAGAGGUGCUUGCACCUCUUGAGAGCGGCGGACGGGUGAGUAAUACCUAGGAAUCUGCCUGGUAGUGGGGGAUAACGUUCGGAAACGGACGCUAAUACCGCAUACGUCCUACGGGAGAAAGCAGGGGACCUUCGGGCCUUGCGCUAUCAGAUGAGCCUAGGUCGGAUUAGCUAGUUGGUGAGGUAAUGGCUCACCAAGGCUACGAUCCGUAACUGGUCUGAGAGGAUGAUCAGUCACACUGGAACUGAGACACGGUCCAGACUCCUACGGGAGGCAGCAGUGGGGAAUAUUGGACAAUGGGCGAAAGCCUGAUCCAGCCAUGCCGCGUGUGUGAAGAAGGUCUUCGGAUUGUAAAGCACUUUAAGUUGGGAGGAAGGGCAUUAACCUAAUACGUUAGUGCUUUGACGUUACCGACAGAAUAAGCACCGGCUAACUCUGUGCCAGCAGCCGCGGUAAUACAGAGGGUGCAAGCGUUAACCGGAAUUACUGGGCGUAAAGCGCGCGUAGGUGGUUUGUUAAGUUGAAUGUGAAAUCCCCGGGCUCAACCUGGGAACUGCAUCCAAAACUGGCAAGCUAGAGUAUGGUAGAGGGUAGUGGAAUUUCCUGUGUAGCGGUGAAAUGCGUAGAUAUAGGAAGGAACACCAGUGGCGAAGGCGACUACCUGGACUGAUACUGACACUGAGGUGCGAAAGCGUG
rnacentral:rRNA from 1 species